UGGAGUAUCUGUUUUCAGAGAUUCGGAUGCCAAACAGGAUUUUGGAUUACAUGGAAGGGAUUAGAGGAUGAGCCAAAAAGAUGAAUCGAUUGUAUCAGCAAUUCCCAAACUUGUGUUGAUAGUACACUGUUCUCUAGGUUUUAAUUGGGGUGAGUAAAGAAAGCGCUCUUAGUAUUCUUUUUUUUUAAUAUGUAUUCCCCACCCAGCCACAGUGGCUGGAGACUUCAUUUAUUUAUUUAUUUUGGCCACACUGUGUGGCAUGUGGGAUUGAGUUCCCUGACCAGGGUUUGAACACCCCCUACCUCCUAUAUUGGGGGCAUGAAGUCUUAACCAGUGGACUACCAAGAAAGUCCCAGUAAAGUGGUCUUUAUUGGGAUCUCUUUGUCCCUUUUAUCCUGGUUACACUGUAAACCUCCAAGAGUAGAAUAUAUAGUAUGUAGCGUCUCCAGAAUUCAUUUGCACUUUCUCUCCAUUCCUAUGACCAUCUUCAAGAAUACUGUGUUAAGGAAUAUGAUUUGGGAAAUGUGUUGUAAACUUUUUUUUAAUAGUUAACAUAUGAGCUGAGGAUAAAGGCUUUAGGAGCCUAGAGAAGAGAAGGGACUAGGCUGAGGAGGAAUGGGGGCCCAUCCAGCAGAAUUUAGGUUGAAAGCCUCUAGAAUGAGGUCAGGACCCGAGUCUAGCUUCUGGGACAGUGCCAGCACAGCGCUUGGUAGAGAUGGGUGCAUAGCCAGGAAUGGGGAGAAGUGACACCAAGGAUAUGUUUGGGGUGUUGUUUCAGGCGAUCUCUCUCCCUUGCCUCUCCAGGGUGUUGUGCUGGGGUGUUACUUCGGGCCUUCUGCUCUCUGCAUCUGGGUGGUGGGGAUCCUGGCUGUGGGGCAGAGCUCCACCAUGACAGGAACCUAUUCCGGCCAGUUUGUCAUGGAGGGAUUCCUAAACCUAAAAUGGUCGUGCUUUGCCUAAGUGAGUCUGACCCACUCUAUUGCCAUCAUCCCCAUUGGGCUUGUGGCCAUCUUCCAAGAUGUGGAGCAUCUAACAGGGAUGAAUGACAUCCUGAAUGUUCUUCAGAGCUUACAGGUGAGGAGGGAGCUGGGGAAACUCACAUCCCAUUGAGUCAGGAGGCAUUCUGUAUUGCCCUUAGGUACCAAGCCUAGUGUGGGUGUGGGGAAAAUUCAGAGGAAGAAAGAGGCACAGUCUUGGUCUAUGGUGAAUGCAUAUGAAGUCUCUGGAAUCUAAAAGGCUUUUAGAAGUGGCUUGUUUUUUUCCUAAGCCUGUUGAAUGGGAAUUAUAAGCUGUAAUUACAUAUAGAACACAAAAUUAUUAUUCAUUAAUCCAAGCAAACAUUAAAUAAUGUAAAGGAGACUGAUGGGUAUUAUGGAGAUUAAGAAGACAAGGCAGAUAUAAAUUUUCUAGACAUUGUGAGCAUAAUUGAUGCUAGGUUCAUGCUACACAUUUCCACAUAACCCUCCAGCAUGUUGCGAUGACAGGAAUCAUUUCUCACAGAGUAGAUGAGGCAGGGUCUGUGGUUCCCUUUUGCUAAAGUGCUGCCCUCUGGGGUGUUACAGGACUCCCAGUAGCCCUAUGUGAUCUUAGUUUUUUCUUUUGCAGCUUCCUUUUGCUCUCAUAUCCAUCCUCACGUUUACGAGCUUGCAGCCGGUGAUGAGCAAAUUUGCCAAUGGAUUGUGAGUGCACUUCUUUUAGUUCCCAGAGAUGUGGGGGGAAAUGGUAUCUUCAUCAAACAGGCCAGUCAGAAAAUCCAUCUUAGGGGAACUAUAUGCUUGAAGAGGCGACUGCUAGAGCUGCCCCUUUAAUCUCUGACUUAGAAAACAGAGACUGCUGGGGGCUUCCCUCGUGGUCCAGUGGUUGAGACUCUGCCUUCCAGUGCAGGGGGUGCCGGUUCAAUCCCAGGUCAGGGGACUAAGGUCCCACAGGGACCAACAGGGUGUGACCAAAAAUUCAAAAUAAAUAAACACAACAUUGUAAAUCA
ensembl:lncRNA